rnacentral:rRNA from 1 species
UACGGGGGGGGCAAGCGUUGUUCGGAAUUACUGGGCGUAAAGGGUGCGUAGGCGGCUUUCUAAGUUGGAUGUGAAAACUCUGGGCUCAACCCAGAGCCUGCAUCCAAAACUGGAAAGCUAGGGUUCUGGAGGGGAAAGCGGAAUUCCUGGUGUAGCGGUGAAAUGCGUAGAUAUCAGGAGGAACACCGGUGGCGAAGGCGGAUCUCUGGGCCUUACCUGACGCUCAGGCGCGAAAGCUAGGGGAGCGAACAGG